rnacentral:lncRNA from 1 species
GGAAGCAUGAGUUUGAAGGGUUUCUUCUUGCAUUUUCAUGGUGGGUCUUUGAUUUGAAUGAAGAGCUUUUCGUUUUUCUUUCUUCUUUGCUGCAGUAUUCAAGGUUUUCUAUUUAGUUUUCUUGGUUGAAUCAUGAAAAUAAAGUUCUUGUUAAGUUUGGAAGUGAACAAAGCUUGAGCUUGUGUAUGGGUGUUGAGGUUUGGACCAUUUCUUCUUGGGUUUUUGUUUGAUGGUUGGAAGAAGUAUUUUGAGUUGGACAUUGUGCUUGUUGAUGAUGGCUGGACGGUGCAGCAAAGGGGUCUAAGGAUUGCAUUUUUUUUUUAUUAAAAAGUUGAAGAAAAGUGAGUGUUGAAGUUGGAUUGAUGAGUAGUAGUUUGGGUUUAUUGUUCUUGAAUUAAUUUGCAACUUGAACUUGGGAUUCCUUGGUGUAUUCUCGGUGGAGAAGAGUUGGAGAAAACAUUUGGAUGCAUGUUNUUGAAGAAAAAAACGUUUGGUGUGUAGAAGGGAGAGAGAAAUGGUGCNUUUAAGUUUUUACCUCUUUUGGACAAGCAAAAUAUGAAGCACAUUUUCACUAAAGGAAUGUUUCCACUUUUGGUUUUGUCUUUUCUUUGCAUUGUUNCCGAGAAUCACCUUUNGGAAGGGAGUUUUUAGUUGGUUUAUUUCCUUUGACCUUGCCUACAUGGCAUCUUGGUUGGACCACCCAAAGUAUCUUUCCAUUAGAGUUGGUUUUUGAUGCACCUUUUUGCUAUUUGCUUGGUAGUUCACGGCAAUGUAGUAUCUUGGAGUGUGGUGUCCAAUUCUUUGCUGCAUGGUAGGAGAGAGAGGACGGUCCUAGUGUGUUUGGAAUGCACAUGCUUAAUUUNUUUGAGAAUGGUGCACAUAGGAGAAGAAGUCAACACAUUUUGUGGCUAUUUGAAGCAAGAAAGUCAAGUUUGGGUAUGGUGCAAGUGAGGUCAUGUACAAGAGGUCUUCUUAGGCCAUUUUCAUUUUNAAUUUCUUUAUUUGGUGCACACUUGGUCACAUGAAUUUCUAGGAAAAAGUUGUGUUUGCUUAUUUCUUUUGUUUAAAAUUAAUUUGCAUGCUAGGAUUAGUUGCUUUUGAUUUCUCUAAUUUAGCUUUGCAUUUAAUUUAAUUUAACUGUGUUUAGAUAUUUGAUUAGUCUAGUAUUGGGUUAGCAUUUUCACUCUCUUUAAUGCUUUAAUUGAUGUUCGCAUGUGUUUAAUUUUUAUUUCUAAUUUUGUCAGUUGCAUUCACAAACAAAACCAUUUUCAAACCCCCCCACUUCGUGUUAGACUCGAUUCUGAACCACAAAAUUGGUCCUUGAGAGACGACCUAGGAGUCACUUCCUAGCUAUACUGCAUUUCUUAUUAUGCAAUCAAAUUUGAUUGGGCGGUGACACCCAUCAAUGUUUCAUUGAAAUGAAGGUGAAAAAAGAAGGGAUAACCUACUGCCCAGAGCUACGCUCCUUAAGAGACCCAAACAGUACUCUCCACUCUUAAUUUGUUAAAAAACGGAAUAAUCCAUACCCACACACUCCUCUGACUUAUAAAGGUAACAACCAAAAGGGAAAUCUUCCAAGAUUCUCCCUUUUCUUUCUCAUUAACUAAUUCUGCUACGUGUCCCCCUCAGCUUCUUUUAUUUAUUUCUCCUAAUGUAAACUUGUCCCCAUUUUCUUUGCUGUUCUUUUUCUUUGUCCAAUAUAUUUUCUGGCCCAAUAGAUAGUUGGGCUGUAUCAAUACCUCCCUCUUGAAAGAUAGUCUUGUCCUCAAGACUAAAAGUUGGAAAUUGGACCUUCAUUGACAUCUCAUCNUCCCACGUUGCUUCUUCUACUGUUUUUCCCAACCACUGCAUCAGCCAUUAGUUAACCCUUUCUCCCUCCUUGCUUAU